rnacentral:rRNA from 1 species
GUCUAUGGUCAUACCACCCUGAACGCGCCCGAUCUCGUCUGAUCUCGGAAGCUAAGCAGGAUCGGGCCUGGUUAGUACUUGGAUGGGAGAAGUCAUUACGAUUGGGAGAUCAGUUACUAAAGCAU